CGCGCAGGCGGUCUUCCAAGUCAGUGGUGAAAGCCCGGAGCUCAACUCCGGAAUUGCCAUUGAAACUGUUGGACUUGAGUACGAGAGAGGUGAGUGGAAUUCCCAGUGUAGAGGUGAAAUUCGUAGAUAUUGGGAAGAACACCGGUGGCGAAGGCGGCUCACUGGCUCGUAACUGACGCUCAAGCGCGACAGCGUGGGGAUCAAACAGGAUUAGAUACCCUGGUAGUCCACGCCGUAAACGAUGAACGCUAGCCGUUGGCCAGCUUGCUGGUCAGUGGCGCAGCUAACGCAUUAAGCGUUCCGCCUGGGGAGUACGGCCGCAAGGUUGAA
rnacentral:rRNA from 1 species